rnacentral:rRNA from 1 species
UACAGAGACUGCAAGCGUUAUUCGGAUUCACUGGGCGUAAAGGGUGCGCAGGCGGCCGUGUGUGUCAGGUGUGAAAGCCCGGGGCUUAACCCCGGAAUUGCGCCUGAAACUACAUGGCUAGAGCAUUGGAGAGGGUAGCGGAAUUCACGGUGUAGCAGUGAAAUGCGCAGAUAUCAGGAAGAACACCCGUGGCUAAGGCGGUUCUCUAGUACGGUACUGACGCUGAGACGCGAAAGCGUGGGGAGCGAACAGG